UAUUACUGGUUACUCGGAUGGGCCUCACUUUCUAACAGCGGGAAGAUAAAAGGAUAGAAUACAAAGUCCUGUUCCUUUGGGUUCUCUCUUCCUCGCUUUUUAUUUUUCCCCUUUCAAAGGAGUAAACAUGUGAUGGGUGCCCCAUUCACAUUCCCCUACCUAAUUAAACCUCAGGGUGUGAAAUCUUGUCGAUGGCAGUUUGGCAAUUUUCAACACCACGAACCCUUAUCAAUAGUUUGAUGGGGAUCUUCGGUCACUUCAGGGUAACAUGCUAAUCAGCUACUUAAGCCUUCUGGGGAAACUAAUUCAGGUGGGGCCCCUUCCUCUUCUAGUUACCAUGGUUUCUGGAUUCCAUCAGAAGUCUCUCAUUUUCCCCUUCAACAUCGAUUGCUUACUUCCUUCUGGAAGUGUCCACACUGGAAUUCAGCCUCACUGUUUGAAGUUCUGUGUUGCUAAGAGAUGCUGUUUUGCAGUAAACCCAAGUGUGAACACACACUAAGUAAGGCCUUUCUGUACCUCUGCAAAUAUCCACUUGUGCUUAUGCCCAGGACAAGGAGGACAUUCUUCUCAUUUGUUUCAAGAGCUAGGUGGCCACCAAUGGCAGCUGGUCAAAAUAUAAGAUGGGAAGAAGCAGCUUGUUCAGGGUUGAGCUUGCUACUGUAUUUGCUAGUGCACCACAUCUGGUUUUCUUCCAAAACAAUAAAAAUAAUAAUAAUUUCUCCCUAUCUCAGAAAGGAAAUGCAAUUUUUAAAGGAUAACAAGUAGUGAAGCUGAAUGGCGUCUCUAGUCACCUACCUUAAGCCUCCUUUUCUGGGAGAGGAAACUGAGGCCCCAGAGAAAUGGAAUCCUUUGACUUAAAUCAGUUAAUCACAGGUCAGCCUGGGACUAGAGCUCAGUUUUUCCGGCUCCCCGUAAUACAUCCUUGGUGCUGCCUCCCUGGGAACUGAAAUUGUGUAGAAUAUCUUAUGAUCGAUAAUAAUACCAUUGACAUACAAUCAACAGGGCAUUUUUCCCUUUAGCAGAAAUGAUGGAUUUAUACCAAUGAUUCUCCUCCUUCAUCACUCUGUAAACAAAUAACUUAUAUGUAUUAAAAUAGGCUCUCUCUGAGUUCCUCCAGAGACUUCAAGCUCUUUGAAGACCCAAGGGUGCAUCCUUCAUAUCCUGUGCUUAGUAGGGACUCAGUAAACGGUGAGUGGCCGGAUGGAUAACACAAGGCGAAACCACCCACCCACAAGGGACUGCAUGGACUCCCCCAUUAGGCCAAUGAAUUUAAACAGCCACAGGCAGAAGGAAGAAGGAAUGCUUUGAGAGCCAUUCAGGAAAGCAAAUCUGCCCUGUGGAACAACCGUUACAGAUUCAUGAGCUUGGUGUCUAUUGGGAAGACCGACACCUAAAAUGUACAAACUGAAGAAACCCAUUUGGGGACUUUGGGGAGUAGCCUGACUCACAACAAAACUAAACUAAAGAAUUGUUUCUGGCUUGUGAGAGAUGGAUGAUGCCCCAGCAGGAAGUGUUCAGAAAGUCUACUGAGAGGCAUAGGGUGAGAUAGGGAAUGAUGAGUGAAGCAGGAUCAAUCAUCAGGGCCCAAAUCCGCUGACAGGGAGACCUGGAUGCCCAUGCAGUAAGGAGGAACAGACAAUUUACUGUCUUCUCCUCCUUCUUUUAUUACAUCUGGCCUGAAAAUCUUCAUAGCUACUUCAGGAUCAUUUGAUUUUAGCCAUAGCAUCUUGACAAAGAGAAUGAUGCCUAUAAAAUCUAGUAGUUAAGCAAAUUCCACUACUUUGUGUUAAUUGCUGGGAGUCAGGGUGGGAUGGAUUGGAAAUCUUCAUUUUCUGGGUUUAAAAUAGUCUCAUAAAUCUAACCAACUGAAAUAUAAAGUCUUUCCAAAUAGAGGACUCCCUGGACCUACUUCAAUAAAUAUAGUAUAUUAAAAAAAAGAAACAAAUUGCUGUUUGAAAUAAAAUCAAUCUAGUUUUUUUUUUUUUGAGGAGGUUAGAUUCUCAUUUUGAAGCUUUUUCUUUUUUUAAUGUUUACUUAUUUUUGAGAGACAGCAAGGGUGAGCAGGAGAGGGGCAGAGAGAGAGAGAGACAGGAUCAGAAGCAGGCUUUGCACUGCCAGCACAGAGCUCAAUGUGGGGCUUGAACUCAUGAACCAUGAGAUCAUGACCCAAGCUGAAGUCGGACAUUCAACCAACUGAGCCAUCCAGGUGCCCCAAGGAGGUUCAAUUCUCUUAAAGGAAGUGUUAGAGGGUAAACAUGGAAUGUUGUGUUACUAAUGAAAAAGUGUCCCUUAAUUUCAGCCCAGCAUCUUGACUUGGAUUUCCAAAGAAGAGUUCAGGGCUGAGUCCGGGCAUAGGGCUGGGAGAGCUGGAGAGAAUGGGAAGAACUCAGAGUUCCUGGCAGCAAUCGAGGAGGAAGGAAUGAGGAAAAAUGGGAGAAAAGAGUUGAGCUGUGCUGGGGAUCAGGACAACCCUGGGGUAGGCCCUGAAGGGUGUGGUUGGUCAGUGGUGCCUGGUCUUGGAGGAGCUGAUAGAACAUCAGGGACAGGAAUGUUGACUUUAUUCUGGUGAAAACUUCCUCCAUCUCCUCACGUCUUCAGGGAAUGUGUUGGGGACAAGAGCUCUGUGUGGGUGCUGUUUCUUUAGUACAGACCCAGGAAGGACCAGUCAUCCACCUGCAGAUCCACACUGGGCCCAGCGGGGGGUCACUUGCACACACAGGGUGGGACACAUGGCAGACUGAACUCACCUUGGUGAGUAUAUGGGCUCGGGGCCAGAGAGAACCAGGAGAAACGCUGAGGAUGGCACUGAACUUGGACAAAUUCUGGAAUAGGGAUUCAGGCCAGUGUCAUCUAGGUGUUAAGGGUCAGCAUGACACCAGCUGGUGUCGGUUACAAAUGAGUGAGAAAUAUUACAACUGGCAUGUCUGUGAACAACGUUGGUUGACAACCCAUUUCUGAUCUUGUUCGCAUUAUUAUAAGCUAUACAGAUGUAAUACCACGUGGAAAUACAAUGCUAUUUUGUGGGUAUAGAUUAUUAACAUCAUGUGGGGAAAUGUAUAAUUCAAAUGAGCCUUAGGUGAUAACUCCCUAAGUGGCCCCUGCAAGGCCCUUAGUUCACGUUGCCUUGGUUAUCUUAACGGGUAUAAUAUUAGCAUGUGAGCCUAUUUACUGCUAAGAAUUAUUAGAACAAUACACAUGUGGAGAACCUGAAUGUGUUUUGAGCCAGGAGAGGAAGACUCUAACACAACACUAUGUUGAAAUGCCAUUUUUCCUCUUUUCUUAUUUUCUGGAUGGGAUAAAAGCACCACCAAGACCCAAGUCAAACAAACACAAAAAACAAUAACAGAAAACAGGGCCCAGUCCUUAUGAGCAGAGCCGACCACAUACAGAGAGAAGAGAUUUUUUUUAGCCCUGCUGGCUUUGCCUGUCUCCCACUUCCUGCCUGUGUUCAGACUGAUCAGAAGAGCCUGAUGGAGAAAGAGGACUUCUGAGGAUGGGCUGUCAGAGGCUGUGUGUCAUGGAAGGCGUGUGCUUCUGAUGCACAACAGGUCAGGUAAGGGGCACUCUCAGAGAACUUCAUGGAGAGUGACCUGUGAGCACAAAUACUGGUACCUGAGGAAGCUGGAGGCCCUUGGCGGCUGCAGGUGCUCUGAUGGCACAGAAGAGAGCUGGCUUCUGCAGUUCUGCCAGCAGCAGGAUUGGGGGGGAGGGUAUUGGGAGGAGUGGCCAGUGGAGAAAUCAGCCAGUGUGAUCUGUUCCAGUAGAACUAUGCCCGAGUGGAGGGAGAGAGAGUCAAAGCGGGGUCUACCUCUGCAAGUGGGAGCCAAGAGAGUGCUGGCCAUGGCCAGUCAAGGGGGCACAGCCUGCACCCAGCAGUGGGGCAGUGGGAGGGUCCUAGGAGAUGAGGUCUCUAAGGAAACCACAAACUCGCCUGUGGGAGAGAGAGCCACCUCCAGAGGCUACCAAUAUGACACCGUAACAUCUCCUGUGCCAUUUUCCUGUGUUUCCUCUCUCCUCUCUACAUACUCUGGGGGUCAGAGGUGGCAUGGAGAGUGUAGUGGAGUGGAGCUUUGAGGCAGACAAAUGGCCAGGAAGCCAUCUGGCCCUCUUGCCCAUUGUGUGUCUCUGAGUCUGCCUCAGGUGAAGCUGGAAAAGCACAAGACUAAAAUGGACAUUAAAAGCUUGAUUUAGACCCAAUGGAGCUUUUUGGUACCAUUCAUUAAAAUCACAAAGGUUAAAGCAUCUGUUUGAGAUAUAUAGUUUAGGCAUAGGUAAAAGAAUUUGACCUAAGUGUGAUUUGGAAAAAGAAGAAGGAGAAGGGGAAGAGGAAGGAGAAGGAGGAAGAAGAAGACGAAGAUGAAGAAGAAGAAGAGGCAGGAACAGCAGCAGCAGAAGCCAUUUCAAGGGCUGCCGCUGUGGACUCUGGAAUGCCUUGUUCAGUGUCACGGUAAUCUGCACAGCAUUGCUUCUGAUCAAGGAACUCACUUCACGAGGGAAGUGUGGAAAUGGUCUCAUGUCAUGAAAUUGCCCAUAUACUCACUCCAUCACCUGGAAGCAGCCAGCUAGCUUAACUGAAACAUGGAAUUGCUUAAAGAAGACUCUGUUAAAAUGCUUGUUGGGACACAACAGAUUGAAGAAUGGAAUUCUGUCUUAAAGGAUGUUUCUCCUUUGCUAAGAUCCACGGAUCUAGGAUUCAAGAUAUAGGAGAAGGGUUGUUCUUCUCCCCAUUGUCAUUAAUAACCCACUCACAGAAAUGUUCUUAUCCUAGCCAGCAUCUUUGUGCUCUGCUAGUCUGGAGAUAUUACUCCAAGGGGUAAUGCUUCCACUAUUGGACACCACAGUGGUUUCAAUGAAUUGUAUGAGACUGCCACAGGGCUAUUCUGGGUUUAUUAUACCACUAAUCACUGGGUAGAAGAAGUCACUCUACUGGCUUGAGUGAUUGAUCCCAAUAACUAAGGGGAGAUCAUGUUGCUGCUACCCAGUAGGGCAAUGGGGAUGGUAUCUGGAACCCAGGGAUUCCUAGGGUAACUCUAAAUAUUUACAUGCCUGGUAGUGAGGUUUAUAGAAAACUGCAGACCUUUGCUUCUCCCCCACAAAAAAGGGGAAAAUAAUUAUUUAAGAUUCAGACCAUUUUGCCAAUGAAGUUUUGUGUCAUUUUACCAGGUUAUGACUUAAACAACCAGUUGAAGUUCUGGCUAAGGGCAAGGGAAAUAUGGAAUGGGAGGUGGAAGAAGGAAGCCACAGAUAA